rnacentral:rRNA from 1 species
UGAGCAAUCUGCCCUUCUCAUCGGAAUAAGCGUUGGAAACGACGUCUAAUGCCGAAUACGACCUCCUUUCGCAUGAUCGGAGGUGGAAAGCUCCGGCGGAGAAGGAUGAGCUCGCGGCCUAUCAGCUAGUUGGUGUGGGUAAUGGCCCACCAAGGCGACGGACGGGUAGCCGGCCUGAGAGGGUGACCGACCACACUGGGACUGAGACACGGCCCAGACUCCUACGGGAGCAG